GACUGGCAACUGGAGGCGAAGUGUUUGGCCACAUCCUUCGUCCCAGAAAAUCAAACGAAAGAUGUGCUGGCAGACGCCCUCAAAGUCGGCGCUCAAGAGUGGGGCAUAGAGGAAGAGAAAAUAUCCUGCAUCACAACCGACAAUGGUGCAAACAUUAUUGCAGCCGUCCGGGAGCUCAAAUGGCCCUGGUUGAACUGCUUUGGACAUAAUUUGAAUGUGGCCAUAAACAAUGCACUUGACGGAGAAAAGGAUUGCACUAGUCGUGCGUUUGGGGUCUGCCGGGCAAUCAACGGCGCCUUUUCGCAUAGUUGGCAACGGAAACGGGAGCUGAGCAAAGCCCAGGAUGAGCUACAACUCCCCAACCAUGCUUUGAUUACGGACUGUGCAACACGUUGGGGUUCGAAGCAGAAGAUGGCAGAGAGGAUACUGGAACAGGCCGCAGCAAUCAAGAGGGUUUUCGCAAACGACAGAAGCCGCCGUCCCCUGCCAAACCUGACGUGGCAAGAUGAAGCUGUGCUGGAGGCAGUGAACAAAGCUUUAAAACCUCUUUCUGACUUUACGGACAUACUGUCUGGCGAAAACCAUGUGACAGUCUCUUCCUUGCUGCCCACGCUACAAUUAUUGAAAGACAACGUCUUGAAGGAAGACGACGAUGACGUCCGGAUGACAUCCGUCAUUAAAAGCGGGGUGCUGCUGGAACUAGAUAACAAAUACGACAAUGAAGCGUCAUUAAAAUUAAUGCGCUUAUCUGCUCUCCUCGACCCCCGCUACAAGGGCGACCAUAUCGAUGCCGUUUCCCUCGACAGCACGAGAGUUCGAUUGGAGUCAGAGAUGGUGUCAUUCUGCAGGAGGCAGACCACCGGACAGGUAAGGGUCAGAGUGGAGGAUGUUGAGACGGAGCAGCCAGUGGCACCUAUUCCACCACCA